GACGAACGCUGGCGGCGUGCCUAAUACAUGCAAGUCGAGCGAAGUUUUUCUGGUGCUUGCACUAGAAAAACUUAGCGGCGAACGGGGGAGUAACACGUAAAGAACCUGCCUCAUAGACUGGGACAACUAUUGGAAACGAUAGCUAAUACCGGAUAAAAGUAUUUCUCGCAUGAGAGAUAUUUAAAAGUUGGUUAUGCUAACACUAGGAGAUGGCUUUGCGGUGCAUUAGGUAGUUGGUGGGGUAAAGGCCCACCAAGGCGACGAUGCAUAGCCGACCUGAGAGGGUGAUCGGCCACACUGGGACUGAGACACGGCCCAGACUCCUACGGGAGGCAGCAGUAGGGAAUCUUCCGCAAUGGGCGAAAGCCUGACGGAGCAACGCCGCGUGAGUGAAGAAGGAUUUCGGUUCGUAAAGCUCUGUUGUUAGGGAAGAAUGGAUAUGUAGUAACUAUACAUGUAAGAGACGGUACCUAACCAGAAAGCCACGGCUAACUACGUG
rnacentral:rRNA from 1 species